UGGGGGAUAUUGCACAAUGGGCGAAAGCCUGAUGCAGCGACGCCGCGUGGGGGAUGAAGGCCUUCGGGUUGUAAACUUCUUUUGCUCUGAACAAGGCAUGCUAAUGGGUGUGUUGAGUGUAGGGGUUGAUUAGCGCCGGCUAACUACGUGCCAGCAGCCGCGGUAAUACGUAGGGCGCGAGCGUUGUCCGGAAUUAUUGGGCGUAAAGGGCUUGUAGGUGGCUGGUUGCGUCUGUCGUGAAAGCUCAUGGCUUAACUGUGGGUUUGCGGUGGAUACAGGCUGGCUUGAGUGCAGUAGGGGAGACUGGAAUUCCUGGUGUAGCGGUGGAAUGCGCAGAUAUCAGGAGGAAUACCGGUGGCGAAGGCGAGUCUCUGGGCUGUUACUGACACUGAGGAGCGAAAGCAUGGGGAGCGAACAGG
rnacentral:rRNA from 1 species